rnacentral:rRNA from 1 species
UACGAAGGGUGCAAACGUUGCUCGGAAUCAUUGGGCGUAAAGCGCACGUAGGCGGCUUCGCAAGUCGGAUGUGAAAUCCCUAGGCUCAACCAAGGACGUGCAUCCGAAACUGCAGAGCUUGAGUACAGAAGAGGAUCGCGGAAUUCCCGGUGUAGAGGUGAAAUUCGUAGAUAUCGGGAGGAACACCAGUGGCGAAGGCGGGUCUCUGGGCCGAUACUGACGCUGAGGAGCGAAAGCGUGGGGAGCGAACAGG